GACGAACGCUGGCGGCGUGCUUAACACAUGCAAGUCGAGCGGAAAGGCCCUUUCGGGGGUACGCGAGCGGCGAACGGGCGAGUAACACGUACGUAAUCAGCCUUUCCCUUAGGGAUAAAUACCGGAAACGGAGGCGAAUACCCGACACGACCAUUCCCCUCAUGCGGUGGUGGGGGUAAGUAGUUCGGGUGGGGAUGUGCUCGCGGCCUAUCAGCUUGUUGGUGGGGUAAUGGCUUACCAAGGCUUCGACGGGUAGCCGGCCUGAGAGGGUGACCGGCCACACUGGGACUGAGACACGGCCCAGACUCCUACGGGAGGCAGCAGUGGGGAAUAUUGGACAAUGGGCGGAAGCCUGAUGCAGCAACGCCGCGUGAGGGAUGACGGCCUUCGGGUUGUAAACCUCUUUCGCCUGUGACGAAGCGAGAGUGACGGUAGCGGGAGAAGAAGCACCGGCUAACUACGUG
rnacentral:rRNA from 1 species